GAUGAACGCUGGCGGCGCGCCUAACACAUGCAAGUCGAACGAUUAAAGCACCUUCGGGUGUGUAUAAAGUGGCGAACGGCUGAGUAACACGUGGGCAACCUGCCCCUUUCAUUGGGAUAGCCACGGGAAACCGUGGAUAAUACCGAAUACUUCGAGACUUCCGCAUGGAAGACUCGAGAAAGCUCCGGCGGAGAGGGAUGGGCCCGCGGCCUGUUAGCUUGUUGGUGGGGUAACGGCCUACCAAGGCAAUGAUGGGUAGCUGGGUUGAGAGACCGAACAGCCAGAUUGGGACUGAGACACGGCCCAGACUCCUACGGGAGGCAGAAGUGGGGAAUCUUGCACAAUGGGCGAAAGCCUGAUGCAGCGACGCCGCGUGCGGGAUGAAGGCCUUCGGGUUGUAAACCGCUUUCAGCAGGGACGAGGCGAAAGUGACGGUACCUGCAGAAGAAGCCCCGGCUAACUACGUG
rnacentral:rRNA from 1 species